GACGUGUUUCAGCAGGAAGUCUUUGAUUAGACCAUGGCAAGGCAUGUCUCGUUUACGAUAGAAGGGUUAAGUUCAACCCAUGUCUAAAACUAUAAAAUCAAGGUAAGUACAUAAUCAUCUUGCAAUGCCAUCCAUCGUUGUCUCACGGCCAUCCGCCUCCACCUCGUCACUGUCAUCUAGAUAGAUUUCGUUAUAGAGGAGGAGUGCAACCUAGGUUUGAAGAGAUGUAGAUCUGCAGUGGAUUUUCGCAACUCAGAUUCGCGCCGUGUGAUCUUCGAUCUUUGCCACCGGAUCUGCAAUCUUUCUAUCCUUUUUUGUGAUUUGCUUAGUCUCAAUCUCAGUGUUCGUUUGCAGUAAAGAAACAGAGCCUUGCCGCCGCUCUCGUGGCUUUCAGAUCCACGCUAUGUGAGCUUCGAUUUCCGUUUACCAAUCUUGCAAGGUGAAGUAUAGAGUUUGUGGUCUCAGAAUAGGGGAUCUGUAGUGCAGCUCUAGACUAUGGGAUGGAGAAUAGAGUAGUGUCGUUCUAUUCUCACCCCUAGAACGGAAAAGAGAGAAGAUUUAGAGAGGGUAGAGAUAACGGUGGUUGGAAUCCAGUUCUGAGAAGUAAAGAGGGCUACAAUAAUGGUGUUAGAAAUGAUUGAUUGUUCACUAUUUUUGUGGAUAACAUCCCUGAAUCAACGGAUCCAAAGAGUCUAUAUAUCCUGUUCAACAAAUUUGGGGCAGUUAAAGACAUGUUCAUCCUAGUGAAGAGAGGGUUAGCAACAAGUACAAGAUUUGGGUUUAUCAGAUUCGAUUGCUUGGUAGCUACAAAUUUGGUUAUUCAAAAGGCAAAUGGUUUGUGGUAUGAGGAUAAGAAGCUUAAGGUAAAAAAAAGGCAGUGUUCAUUAAGCCUCAACUCAGAAAACAAAGGCCAAAAUCAAGUAAAUCUAUGAAAUUGGAUUUACAAAGGCAGUUUAAGCAAGAUAAAACAGAGGUUGGAGGUCAGAAAUCCUAUGCUGAAGUAGUAAAAAGAGAAGCUACUAAUAGGAAGGAUUAUUUAACUACAAAAGCUUUUGAGUUAGAAAAUGAAUGGCGCUAUGCGAGUUUCAUAGUGAAGCUAAAAAAUGUCUUCUCUUUUCUGGCAUUUAGAGAAGAAUUUUGCAAGAAAUGUUUGAAUGAGAUAUUAGUCAGAAAAGGGGAGGUAGAAAUGCAAUCCUAACCUUCAAAUCGACACAAGCUAUGGAGGAGGGGUAUGAUCAACUGAAGGGGUGGAUUUAUGAUUGGUGUGAUUCAAUAAUAGAGUGGAGAAAAGAGAAGAAUCUUGAACAGGAGAGAUGUGUUUGGUUGUGCUGUUAUGGAGUUCCAUUUAAUUUAUGAAUUGUUAACACAUUCAAAAGCAUUGGUAGCUUAUGGGGUGAGGUAAUCCAGUUUGAUGAAGUUAUCAAUUCAGAUUCUUUUGAAUAUGGCAAGCUCAGAUUGAUAACGAAUAACAUGAAGAUUAUUAAUACGGUGAUAAGUCAGGAGCACAAAGGAAACACAUACCUUGUUAGGAUAUGGGAAUUCUAUGAUUUUCAUGAAGAUGGAGCAAUCAAUUCUAGUGCAGGGGAAGAUCAAAUCUCUGUCAUUGGGAGAAUCAAUGCAGGGGGCCUAGAUCAGAGGAUCGAAUCAAUAUAAAGUUCUCUCUCUCGAUUCAUCUUUAGUUCAGUGAUUCUUUUUCGAUUCUUCUUCAGUUUGGUGAUUCAUCUCAGGAUUGCGAUUUCAAAGUUUGAUUUUGAGCACAAUUCUGUGAUUUAUCUCUAUGGAUUUGGAACUCUGUGUCUUCUUCAAUCAGAGGUUAGUUGUUCUGUUUGUGAUUUAUCUAUGUUUCUUCUGGGCUUUGGAUCAGUGUUUUGAAAAAUGCUGAAUCAGUGUUUUGAAAAAUUAGUCUCAGUGAUUUCAUCUUUGUUUCAGUAAUUGUUUUUCACUGAUGUGUUGCUCUGUACUAUGAGAUCUAGAUUGUACUUUCAGUAAUUGGUCUCAGUGAUUUCAUCUAUGUUUAUAUUGUGUUCGAUCUAUCAUCGAUGUGGUUAUGGAUUUUGAUUUUUGUGAAUUUGUGUGUGAUUGGUUGAUUAUGUUUGGAAUUGUGGAAUUCACUGAUCUGAGUCGACGUGGACUGAUCAUAGGGUUCUUCUCAAUGUCCAUUUUUGCAUUACAAUUUAAUUUAUAUUAUUAUUUAUUGGGAAUUGUUUGACUUUGCUCCGUAAAAUUAGGUUGUGUUCGGUUGAAUACAAAUUAGGGAGUUGGGAGAGACCACCAUAUCAUUUCCCUCGUUUGUUUGACAGACCUCAAAGGACAAAGCAAUUUCACUUAACAAGUAUUUGAAAAAAAAAAUGGUUAUAGAAUUAAGCAGAAUGCUAAUGAUCAUAGAAGCUUAAAUUUGUUCACUUUAAUUUGCACAAAUCCCUCCCCAAAUCUAAGAUCCAAUAUGGAUUGAGAAUCAUAACCUGAGCUACCUAACACUAAUAUCACACAGGUAACAACAAGUUUGAAAACCAGCUAGAUUUGGGUUCCAACCAAAAUUAAGCAUAAGAAUGUUUUAACCUAGAGCUAUAUGCCAAAUUAAACUUCAACUUCAUCUACAGUCACUUUAGAGAAGCAACUAUUAGAAAUAUUGACAGAAACUCAUAUUCACUUUUAUAUUUGUGUUUUUUGUACGGAUAUUCAUGUUAAUAAAAUAUUUGAUUUGUAAUCAUUUCUUUAAGUGGCCAUUAUUAGACUACGUACUCUGAUUCUGUUUUGAAUUGUCAUUUUAUAUUUUGCAUUAUAUUUAAAUGUAUAGAUUUAUCAUCUUACAUUGCAUGGAUUGUAGUCAUUUAAGAAGGUAAACUUUAUUCAUAGUCCUUACUUUUAUGUUUGUAGUUUCUUUAUAUAUUAUCUAUGAGUUCUAGCUUCGACAAUUCUUCUAGUGAGAGUGAGCAAUCAAGCUCUAGUAGUUCUAGUUCAGAUGAGACUCAAACCACACUCAAGAUGAGAGUCAUACCUGAUCCAUUGGCAUCAUGGCAUCCACCAGGCAGUCUUCCUACCACAUUACGUAGUGAUAGUACAUCACAUGGUUCAGUUUCAGCUGGUACGUAUAAACUUUAAAAGGCUAUUUUUUGUGAGCGAAUUACCCGAUUUAUGAGUGCAUAGAAUUGUUGUUUUUAUUUAAUCAUCGUCAAUUUGACCUUUACUAGCUUUUGUUACUAUGGCUGCAGUUGCAAAAACUUGAGUUUUGUUUGCUAUCUCCUAUUGGGGUACUCAGAGUGCAUUGGUACAAUUUUAUUUAUGUGAAAAAAUGUUUAUAUAUGAUAAUUUUUUGUAAUAUCUUAAAUAAAUUUCAUAUUUGACAGAAAUCAAGCAAGAAAUAUAGAAAAAUCCAGAAGAAGAAGACAUUACAUCAUAGAACAGGUCGAAAGCCUUUCUCAGUAGUUCGAGUAGAGGAGAUAAAAAAGACCAAUGGGGUUCCUGCUAGUUGGCCACAGGGGUGGAUGGCCGUAUAUAUGAAAGAUGGGAAGUCAAAUAGUGAUUCAAUUAAUGAGGUUAUAGUAUGUGAUACUACUUUAUUGGACUUUUAAUAGGAUUUAUAUUGGAGGCUAAUUAUUGAAUUCAAAAUUGUAGACUCAAAUGAAUGAGCUAACAGAGCACAUGGAGGGAUCUUCUAGUGACCCUACUGCAUUAAAUGAGCAGAUCUUUACACAAGGUAAAAACAAUAGAAUGUAGAAAAUGGUGGGUGAUUACGUGUUGUGGAGCAUUGGAAAUGUGAGGAAUAGAAUGAUUUUGAAUAUGUUGAAAUUUUGAUGUAAGAAUAAAAUGUGUCACACUUUGGAAGUCUUUGGUGGGUUAAGGAAGGUAAUUUUUUGGAAAAAUUGGUCUAGGGUCCCUCUCUCACUUUUCGUAAUGGAAGAGAUCCACGAUAUUACUUUUUGAUGUCUAAGGUCCCUCCAAUCUAUCACAGAGAAAUUCAGCCCCCUUCCUUUUCUCUACUCUCACUCAUCACUGCGAUCAAACACGCACACACACAGAGUUCACUGUUCGUGAUCGAAAACGCAAUCAUCAUCACUCUAUUUCUGAAAUACAGAUCGAUCAUGGAGGUCUACAGAUAAGGAUUGCUCUUCUAUCUUUCUUUCUCUCUCUCGUCGAUCUCAUGCCUGCUAUCACUUCCGUGGCAGAUGUGCGAAGCCAUGACCUGAGCGAGCCUGAUGGAUUCAACCAAAAGUUGUGAGAUUGUACAACGAUAAAACAGAGAUCUCAAUAUAUAUAUAUAUAUAUAUAUCUAAAAACCUGGUCAACAAUUUACAGAAACUAUUUUAACUAUGUAUUGACAAAUUCUAAAUUCUAAAGUUUUUCGAUCUAUCAGUGGCUUUUACCAGUUUCCUAUUAGGAGGAUGGUUAAAUUGGCAUGCCGCACCAAAUUUGCAUAGGCCAGUUCUGAUGUAGGUGAUGCGACGGUGAUAUUUCGUCUUCGGUCCAUCUGUUUACAGCAAAUGAUCUCGGUUUUACAAAAUUUUGAUUGAUGGCUUUUGCAAGGCUGGAAAACUAGAGGUUGCUCUUGAGCUGCAUCGAUAAAUUUCAUCAUCUUCAUCCCAUUGUGCUUAGAUUAUCCAG